CCUUGUACACACCGCCCGUCACACCAUGGGAGUCGAUUGCUCCAGAAGUGGCUACGCCAACCCGCGAGGGAGGCAGGCCCCCAAGGGGUGGUUGGUAACUGGGGUG
rnacentral:rRNA from 1 species